GAAACACUUAGAGAUGGCAUUUCAAGACUGAAGAGGCAGAGAUUUACUUGUGUGGCCUCUCCUGGUAUGUCCCAACUGUGAAAACUCAGUAGGGCUGAGUUCAACUUGAUUUCCAUUUUUCCUGUACAAAGGUGUGUGUAAUCAGCCCAAGGAACAUCUCUAAAAACACCACUGCCAUGUGACGCCCACGGGUCAAUCUUACACAACCCUGUCUUCCUGUUCGCUGCCGGUUAAGGCAGUGGUGCUCAACGAGUCUGGGGGUUCUGUUGGCUUUGCUGUUACUCAGCACUUGAGUAGCACAGCAAUUGAACAGUUUGAACAGUUGAUUGUGCAGCGAACUCAAUGUCACCUGGUUUCUGGGGUCUCCAAUCGGUUACUGAU